GCCAUUGCAGCUGAUGACUUUUCUCCCAGUCAGAUCGACCCUGUUGAUCUCACUGAAUUAGCCAGUUUUGUUGAUGGCAUUGGU
ensembl:snoRNA